rnacentral:rRNA from 1 species
UACGUAGGCAGCAAGCGUUGUUCGGAAUUACUGGGCGUAAAGAGUGUGUAGGUGGUGUCGUAAGUUUGGUGUGAAAUCUCCCGGCUUAACUGGGAGGGUGCGCCGAAGACUGCGAUGCUGGAGUAUGGGAGAGGAAAGCGGAAUUCCUGGCGUAGCGGUGAAAUGCGUAGAUAUCAGGAGGAACACCUGCGGUGUAGACGGCUUUCUGGACCAUUACUGACACUGAGACACGAAAGCGUGGGUAGCAAACAGG